GUCUUCGUGGAGCAAGGACGCUCGUUCCCUUUACAUAGAAACAGGCAAUACAAACAUGUACAUUUGGGAAAGCUGGUGGUUCGAGUCCACCCGAAGACA